rnacentral:rRNA from 1 species
UACGGGGGGGGCAAGCGUUGUUCGGAAUUACUGGGCGUAAAGGGCUCGUAGGUGGCCAACUAAGUCAGACGUGAAAUCCCUCGGCUUAACCGGGGAACUGCGUCUGAUACUGGAUGGCUUGAGUUCGGGAGAGGGAUGCGGAAUUCCAGGUGUAGCGGUGAAAUGCGUAGAUAUUUGGAGGAACACCGGUGGCGAAGGCGGCAUCCUGGACCGACACUGACACUGAGGAGCGAAAGCCAGGGGAGCAAACGGG